GACGAACGCUGGCGGCGUGCUUAACACAUGCAAGUCGAACGGAAAGGCCCUGCUCUUGUGGGGUGCUCGAGUGGCGAACGGGUGAGUAACACGUGAGUAACCUGUCCUUGACUUUGGGAUAACUUCAGGAAACUGGGGCGAAUACCGGAUAGGAGCUCCUGCUGCAUGGUGGGGGUUGGAAAGUUUCGGCGGUUGGGGAUGGACUCGCGGCUUAUCAGCUUGUUGGUGGGGUAGUGGCUUACCAAGGCUUUGACGGGUAGCCGGCCUGAGCGGGUGACCGGCCACAUUGGGACUGAGGUACGGCCCAGACUCCUACGGGAGGCAGCAGUGGGGAAUAUUGCACAAUGGGCGGAAGCCUGAUGCAGCAACGCCGCGUGCGGGAUGACGGCCUUCGGGUUGUAAACCGCUUUCGCCUGUGACGAAGCGUGAGUGACGGUAAUGGGUAAAGAAGCACCGGCUAACUACGUG
rnacentral:rRNA from 1 species